rnacentral:misc_RNA from 1 species
AGCAGCCGCGGUAAUUCCAGCUCCAAUAGCGUAUAUUAAAGUUGUUGCAGUUAAAAAGCUCGUAGUUGAAUUUCGGGAUUGACGUGAUGGUCGUGCCUUAAGGGGUAUGAACUGUUGCUGUUGAUUUCUCACCUUCUGGAGAAACUUGAUGUCCUUAAUUGGGUGUCUUGCGGAUCCAGGACCUUUACCUUGAAAAAUUAGAGUGUUUAAAGCAGGCAUUUUUGCUCGAAUACAUUAGCAUGGAAUAAUAGAAUAGGACGGCAUGGUUCUAUUUUGUUGGUUUCUAGGAUCACCGUAAUGAUUAAUAGGGAUAGUUGGGGGCAUUAGUAUUCAAUUGUCAGAGGUGAAAUUCUUGGAUUUAUUGAAGACUAACUACUGCGAAAGCAUUUGCCAAGGAUGUUUUCAUUAAUCAAGAACGAAAGUUAGGGGAUCGAAGACGAUCAGAUACCGUCGUAGUCUUAACCAUAAACUAUGCCGACUAGGAAUCAGACGAUGUUAAUUUUUAAUGACUCGUUUGGUA